rnacentral:rRNA from 1 species
UUAACGUACUCAAUCACCAUUGAGACGCACCGAGUAUUCUGUGUAGUAAAGUCGUCGCAAAGCGGAGUGGAACUCGCAUCGACGCGGUCCGACCCCUCGGCGGUCGGGCGUCAAUCGGCGGAGGUACGGAGAUGUCGGGGUGCCUAACUGUCCAGAGGCCCAACGAACCGCGCAGUCACGGCGGUCGCCCCGAUGUCUUCGUCUUCCGCUUAUUCGCCUCGUUCGCGUUCUGUGGGUACCUAGUUCGUUCGCUCGACGGCUCGUUUGUCGAGUGAGCGGGAGGAGCAAGCCUUGCUAGGUUUAAAGAAUCUCGGUCUCAGGAGAUCGCCCUUGCGUUCGUCGCGUACAAACAACCACCACGUAACCUAAUGUUGUAACGAUAGUCGGCGGCGGACGUUACUCGCUCGGACACGUUGCUCGAGCGCGGUGGCGCGUCCGUCCGUUCGACAGUCAUGUUAACCUAACGAAAAGUACAACUCUAAGCGGUGGAUCACUCGGCUCGUGUGUCGAUGAAGAGCGCAGCCAGCUGCGUGAAUUAAUGUGAAUUGCAGGACACAUUGAACAUCGAUAUCUUGAACGCAUAUUGCGGCCUCGGGUAGUCCCGAGGCCACGCCUGUCUCAGGGUCGGUUACAAGUCAAUCGCGAAGUCGCUCUCAGCUCGCGCAUUGGGUGUCAAAGCAGGUCGAAGGUCGUCGCUGCCGCCGUUCGUCGGCGGCGGAGUCGGCCCAGACCGACGCUCUGUCGCCUCAAGUCUAGACGGGUUGCCCGGCCGCGUUCGGCUCGGGACGGUGACUCGACUCUCGAAGAGCGCACCGCAUCUCCCGACGUCGUUCGUGCGUCGAAUGCCCACAGAAACAGACGUCAGUUGCCGGCUGUCCUCCUUUGUCGGUAGCUUCCGUCGCUGAAAACAACGACUUCGACCUGAGAUCAGACGAGAUUACCCGCUGAAUUUAA